UACGUAGGUGACAAGCGUUGUCCGGAUUUACUGGGCGUAAAGCGUGCGCAGGCGGUUUUGUAAGCCAGAUGUGAAAGCCCCGGGCUUAACCUGGGAAUGGCAUUUGGGACUGCAAGGCUGGAGUGUGGCAGAGGAGACUGGAAUUCCUGGUGUAGCAGUGAAAUGCGUAGAUAUCAGGAGGAAUACCGAUGGCGAAGGCAGGUCUCUGGGCUGACACUGACGCUCAUGCACGAAAGCGUGGGGAGCAAACAGG
rnacentral:rRNA from 1 species